rnacentral:rRNA from 1 species
UACGGGAGGCAGCAGGGGGGAAUAUUGCACAAUGGGCGCAAGCCUGAUGCAGCCAUGCCGCGUGUAUGAAGAAGGCCUUCGGGUUGUAAAGUACUUUCAGUCGUGAGGAAGGUGUUAAGGUUAAUAACCUUAGCAAUUGACGUUAGCGACAGAAGAAGCACCGGCUAACUCCGUGCCAGCAGCCGCGGUAAUACGGAGGGUGCGAGCGUUAAUCGGAAUUACUGGGCGUAAAGGGCACGCAGGCGGUUAAUUAAGUUGGAUGUGAAAUCCCCGGGCUUAACCUGGGAAUGGCAUUCAAGCUGGUUAGCUAGAGUCUUGUAGAGGGGGGUUAGAAUUCCAUGUGUAGCGGUGAAAUGCGUAGAGAUGUGGAGGAAUACCGGUGGCGAAGGCGGCCCCUGGACAAAGACUGACGCUCAUGUGCGAAAGCGUGGGGAGCGAAACAGGGAUUAGAUA